CCUCCUCGCGGGGCCGGCAGGCAGCUGGGCGGUUGGCGAAGGCGUUGGGAGAAGGCGCCGCGCCCGGUGACCCGCGUCCCUCAGCGGCGGAGGCGCAGGUGUAGCAGUGGCGGUUUCGAGGCCCGAGCGAGUUGAAUUGUGGAAGAGUGGACUUGUUGACAUUCAACCAAUUUGCAGUGCUCCUCUGGAAAAAUUUCACUUUAAAGAGGAGGCAUUUCUUUAAUUUAAUAUUGGAAGUCUUAUCAGUACUGGUGUUCCCAACGAGAUUUUGGUAUUCCG